rnacentral:lncRNA from 1 species
UAUUUUUGAAAACAUGCACGAUAUGGAAUAGCGAACGUAAUGAAUGAAGUUUCAAAAAAAUUAAAAUAAUUAAAAAAUAGAGAUUUUUUUUAUAGAAAUAAUGACAAAUACUUUGUACUUUAACCGUUGGAUCAGAUUUGAUGGUGUCGAUUAACUGUAAUUUUAUAAUUUUAUAGAAAAAUUUAAAUUAUACGGCUGUAAGUAACUUAUUUUAAAAGAGAUGGAUUAGAUUAAUUAAAAUAGAGAGGAAUUAACCUAUAUGUGAACGACAUUUUUGAUAAAAAAAAUUAUAA